AACGCACGAGACCUGCGGACCUGCGGAAGGAUCAUUACAGGACUCGCAAGACUCCUACAACCCUGUGAACCUACUAUACGAACGUUGCUUCGGCGGGUGCGCCCCGGGGAUUCGUUCCCGCGGCGCGUCAGCCCGCCGGCAGCCUACAAAUUCUGUUUCUUUGCGUUGGCAUCUCGAGAAAAACAAAUAAGUUAAAACUUUCAACAACGGAUCUCU
rnacentral:misc_RNA from 1 species